UCCUUCUUCUUCUUCUUCUUCUUCCUGCCCGCGUGCAGGUAGUUUAUGUGACUAGCAGAACUUCAAUAGUUUCUGUAACUGCUAAACUAUAAUCUCAGUAGUCCGAAUAUUAGUUACUCCUUUAGGUAAACAUAACCAUUUACGAUAAAAUGUAUUCCCGGUAACAGACUGCUCCGCUCCGCUGUGACGAAGCUGCACAGACGAACAUCACCGGGGAAAUACUGGAUUUAUGCGCCGGUUUAGUCGCGGGAAAACGUGGAUCCGGAGGAGGAGCGGACAUAUCACAUAAUAAGAGUACUUGAGAAACAACGUUUGCUUCGAGUUAACAGGAAAUUCUCCUCCUGCUCCUGUAAAGACAGUGUAGGAGGAGGUGCAUCAGCAGUCAGCUGGACCUUCACCACCAGCAGCUGUUCCCUGCAGUGCUGACGUACAGCUGCUGUGUGACAGAAGGUGCUGGCUCAGUUGAAGGGCCGCAUGCUGGGCAACAGCACCGGCUGCCUUCGCUCCUUCCUGGUUGUGUGGUACACCUCAAAUCUGGUGGAAGUUGAAGACUCCAGGAGUCCAGCUGCCCCCUCCUCCCGAUGAGCUGAGGGCGAAGGUGACUUCCAUCCACCAAGGUCGACGGCAGGCUGGGAGGAGCAGACACUGGUUCUUCUCAGUGGGUGACAGGACGACCCUGAUGAGCCUGACGAGGACGAUGACCAGCUGGAGGAGGCAGUUGAUGAAAACCUGUGGAUUCUUUGGAUCCCUCUCAGCAGCUCUGAGGGCCUCAACCCCGGCCCUCAGAACCAGAACCAGUCUCCAGCUGUUGGUGGUGAACCAGUGCACCGUCUCUCAGUGACGGACGUUUCACAGCUGCUCAAGAGCUGGGCUUUCCUGGUCUGCUCCCGCUGCAGCUGCUGCUGCUGCUGCGGACUGAGGAUGAUCAUGAAGAUGGACCACAGACAGCUGAGGAGGACAGGUGGGGAGAGCGUGAGCUACUGUCCUGUGGCAGCUGGAGGACUGAGCCCAGAGGAGGGGCUGUCCGCUCUGAACACUAAACAUGUUGUUACAUGAUCUGACCUCUGACCCUCUUUUACAAUCCUGUACAUAGUUUGUUUCUGUUGUAUUUGAACACAUUGAAGCGCUGAGCUGCACUUUAACAAGUAAAUACUGACACUCUAAUAUGUAAACACAGACAAACUCUGGACACAGGUUUUAAUAAAGAUCAGUUUCAGGCUGAAACUCAGAGAAAAACAUGUUUUUUCAACUGAAGCUUCAUGUCGACAUCGUCUGAGUGAAAAAGUUGGAAAAUGAAUCUUGUUGUUUUUGUUGUAAUGUUUUUAUUGACACUUUUACCUCCAGUAAAUCAACAUGAAUAUCAGGAAAACACUUCCCGCAGUGUCCUUCAAAAUAAAACUUGCUGUAAAACGUG